rnacentral:rRNA from 1 species
GUCGAACGAGAAAGUGGAGCAAUCCAUGAGUAAAGUGGCGCACGGGUGAGUAACACGUGACUAACCUACCCUUGAGUGGGGAAUAACCUAGGGAAACCUGGGCUAAUACCGCAUAACACCUACGGGUCAAAGGAGCAAUUCGCUUAAGGAGGGGGUCGCGGCAGAUUAGCUAGUUGGCGGGGUAAUGGCCCACCAAGGCAGUGAUCUGUAUCCGGCCUGAGAGGGCGCACGGACACACUGGAACUGAAACACGGUCCAGACUCCUACGGGAGGCAGCAGUGGGGAAUUUUGCGCAAUGGGGGAAACCCUGACGCAGCAACGCCGCGUGGAGGAUGAAGUCCCUUGGGACGUAAACUCCUUUCGACCGGGAAGAUUAUGACGGUACCGGAAGAAGAAGCCCCGGCUAACUUCGUGCCAGCAGCCGCGGUAAUACGAGGGGGGCAAGCGUUGUUCGGAAUUAUUGGGCGUAAAGGGUGCGUAGGCGGUUCGGUAAGUCUUAUGUGAAAUCUUCGGGCUCAACUCGAAGUCUGCAUGAGAAACUGCCGGGCUUGAGUGUGGGAGAGGUGAGUGGAAUUUCCGGUGUAGCGGUGAAAUGCGUAGAUAUCGGAAGGAACACCUGUGGCGAAAGCGGCUCACUGGACCACAACUGACGCUGAUGCACGAAAGCUAGGGGAGCAAACAGGAUUAGAUACCCUGGUAGUCCUAGCCCUAAACGAUGAUCGCUUGGUGUGACGGGUACCCAAUCCCGCCGUGCCGAAGCUAACGCGUUA